AACGAACGCUGGCGGCGCGCCUAAUACAUGCAAGUCGAGCGAGAAGACGUAGCAAUACGUUUGUAAAGCGGCGAACGGGUGAGGAAUACAUGGGUAACCUACCCUCGAGUGGGGAAUAACUAGCCGAAAGGUUAGCUAAUACCGCGUACGCUCCUUGGACUUCGGUUCAGGGAGGAAAGCGAUACCGUGGGUAUCGCGCUCUUGGAUGGGCUCAUGUCCUAUCAGCUUGUUGGUGAGGAACGGCUCACCAAGGCUUCGACGGGUAGCUGGUCUGAGAGGACAAUCAGCCACACUGGCACUGCGACACGGGCCAGACUCCUACGGGAGCAGCAGUAAGGAAUAUUGCGCAAUGGGCGAAAGCCUGACGCAGCGACGCCGCGUGGGGGAUGAAGGUCUUCGGAUUGUAAACCCCUUUCGGGAGGGAAGAUGGAACGAGCAAUCGUUCGGACGGUACCUCCAGAAGCAGCCACGGCUAACUUCGUGCC
rnacentral:rRNA from 1 species